AAGGCCUUGAUGAUCCUACGACUACGAUGAGACCUAGGCACAGACGAUGUUUUAGCUCUGAUGAAGUGGAAGAACCAGAGCCUAAAAGACUGAAAUAGUUUCGUUUCUUUUGAGGAGGUGCAAGUUCGCAAAUUUCUGAUAUUAUUUAAAGCCCAGGCAAUUCAGUUCCAAAGCUUUUGGUUUCAGUUGAUGCUUUUCUUAGGAUACCUAGGAGCAGUUGGAAUGUGAAAGCAAGGUCCCCUCUCCCAUAAAAGAUUAUGAAUGUUUCAAGUGUCUCUUUGUCACCAAUAGAAAGGAUUUUCAGAGAAAUAUUGGGUUUUCAAGUCUAGGUUGUGACAAAUGUAAUUUUUUUCCCUCAAAUUAAUUACGUGCUACCUUUUCAAGCUCAAUUACAGAGUUUGACUUCAAUAUGAUGUUAUGAAGCUAGAGAUUUGCAUCCCUUUGCUACUUGCUACAUGCUAUUGCUGCUGCCUCUGCAGUUGCAGAUCAUCAAGGUAAAUGAGCUUCUAUAACUAGUCGAAAGUGCAAGUUCACCUUUUUCUUUUCAGAAAAAUUAUAUGAAGCAUAACAUGAAAUCUUUAACUAUCUUGCGGUCUUGAAUCGUAAUCAAUUUCAAUGCUUUCUUAAAGCUACAUCAGUGAUGUUGCAAGUUUAUAUCAUCUGAUAGUCAGAACUUUGUCGUUGUCAUCUCACAGUAGAAAAAGUAGAUCACACCUGCACCAUUAUUGAGAAUUGGGGAAAAUAAAAACAAAAAGGAAACAAAAAAAAAGGAAACUAGAAUUUUUUUUUCCAAUAGAAGGUUAUUUUAACAUCUUUAAGGAAAGUUUGAAACUUAUUUACCUAAAUGGGAUAUUCAUGCUGUCAUUUUUUUUUUUUGUUUUCCUUUUACAUACAAAAUACAAGUGAUUACACUUUCUCUGCUUCGAUGCUUUAACUCUCCUUCAAUCAAAUACCAGUGGCAAGUAUGAAAGGGAAAAGUUUAGGUGGGUUCUUCAUUUAUGUGCUUUAUCUCUCUUUUUCUUUUGGGGAUUUGUUAUUGUCUUGAAAUUAAAUUCCCAAACUCUUCAUCUAUAUGCUUAAUUCCAUCAUAGUUUUCAAUUAUAGUUUUUGGGGUUUAUAGUUUUGAAUUAUAGAUUUUUGGGUUCAUGUAGUAGAAACAGCAAUCACUUGUGUGGACUUGGGUUUUAUAUUUAGGUUGAACUAAUUUUGUUAAGCUUGUUAAAUGGGGUCGGUGAACUUGAGUGUUGCUAUAAUUCCUAUGUCACAUCAGUUUGGGUGGAAUUCAUCAGUAAAUGGAUUAGUGCAACCACCAUUCUUUUGGGGACAUGCUUGAUUCAAUUGCCAGGGGUUUGCUAGCGAAGCUUUUUGGUGGAAGGUUAGUUUUUGAAGACUUUGGCUAUUUAGGGCAAAUGUGCUAUCUUUCAUAUUUUCCUGCUUGCAAUACAUAAUAGAAAGUUGUCAUUUCAAAUUCCAAAAGGUAAAAGAGAGCAGAUAAUCUAAUAAUUUUACCCACAAUUUAAGGUCUGCAUUCAGAAUUUAAGGAAUAAUUUUGCUAUUCACUGGCAUUAAUGAGCUGCUACCAUCUCUAGUUAGGAUGCUAAGUGAAUUCUACGGUUUGGGCUACUUUUAAGGCCACGCAUUACUUGAUUGUGUAAGCACAUUAAUUUGAUGCCUUGUUGAAGGUGGCCAACUGUUUGGACUAGGUUUAUUUGGAUAUGGCAAAUGCAGACUGAAACUAAUUCUAAUGUAGUUGGUUUAAUUAAAUAUGGAAAAUGCACUGAAUUUUAAUUGUGCUAACAAUACUAGCAGUUGGGUUGGUUGUUCCUAUUGGUACUAUGCCGCUUGUGGUAUGCAGAGGAAUCUUGUCAAGCCAAGUCAUAGCUAAAGGGGCCAUCUGGUACGACAGGAAUGCAAUUUCACUUCAUGGGAUGUGGUCAUGCUUCAGCAACACUCGGGUUUAUUAAGGAUGUGUUUUUAUGCUGUGCAAAGGACUGGGGGUCCGGAAACACUAACAAAGGAGCUUGACUGUGUAAAGAGGAUUUUCAGGGGCAGUGAUGAUUCAAAGGGCAAGGACCUGCAUACCAAAGCUGAUGAGCUAUUUGCCCGGCUCAAAAAAUAAAAUGAUUCUGCUACAGAUGUAUGCAGCAUCGUUAUUCAGUUCUUCAAUUAUGCAAAUGAUUGGUUGAAGCAAAGGAUCGCAAAGCACAGUUCCAAGGCAGAGGAUAAAACAGAGUCCUAAGGCAAUGCCAAAGCUCCAAAAGAAGCAAUUUAAGGAGGAGGUUACAUCCUGCUUGUUUUGGAGAUAUGGUCAAGCUCAAGCUGCAUAUAGAUUCUUAAUACUUGGAAAGAGCUAAAGCAGAGGUAAAGAGAUCAAAUGCAAUCCUAACAAGAUCCAGCCCAGCUUUCCUCGCGAUUCGACUAGGCUCACCUUGAAGCUGAGUUCGUCAUUGCUUUUUUUCAAAGAUGCUUGCACUGAGAAAGACAAUCGUGAACAUCAGUAUAUAAUGACUGCAAUGGAAGUUUUAGCCCCGAUGAGGUCGGAAAAGGAGCAGCCAUUUAGAAAUUAGAAGCAAGGACAAUGAGGAUGCCAUUUUCCCGAUGUUGGUGAAUCAAUGAUUGAAUGAGAUAGCUGAUUAUUGGAAAAGACCAUGGUGACCCUUCUACUCAAAAUGAAACCAGGAUGAAAUUCAAGUUUUUGCAGUAAUAGGAGGGAUGACCAGGCCUUUACAGAGCUUCAAUUUUUCUUUGAGAUUCUUUGCUUUAUGCCUGUACUUGAACUGAGACUUCAAGGCACUACGAGUUCUCGACAAACCUGUCCUUUCUUGGUCUUACUCAUUACGGUUCAUCAUGAAUUUUAACUAUUUUUAAGUUCUUCUGUGUCUUCCCCGAAUCUAUUUUUAAGGUAAAUCACUGCUUUCACAGCAGGAUCUUAAAUCUCUUCCAGGUGAGCUCAGUUAUUUUCAGUAGGAGUAUUGCCCAUUGAAAUCUUUGCCAUCAAAUUUUAGUCCAGAGAAGCUUGUGGAAUUAAGAUUACCGAAUAUUAACUAACUUUGGCCUAAAGAUCAGGCAUAUAUACUUUAAUAAUGUGCUCAUCCAAAAAGAAAACAUAUUUCGUUUCCUUUUUUUUUUUUUUCCCAUUUUGAAUAAAACUCUAAAUUUAAUUACAGACUUGAAAUUAAUGUAGUUAGUUUUUUAUUUUCAUCCUACAGAAUCUUGUGAAUUUAAGAGUGAUUGACCUCCGAAAUUACAAGAAUUUAACAAAGAUCCCAGAUCUGUCAAGAUCCAUAAACAUUGAAGAAUUGGAGGUUGGUGGGUGCAUAAGCUUGGUUGAGCUUCCAUGCAUUGUUCAUUUGAAAUUUCUUGAAAUCUCUGUCUUAGUGACUGCCCAAUCACAAUAUUUCCAGAAUUCCUAGAACCUUAAAGACAUUAAACUUGAGUGGGACUGAAAUAGAAGAAGUGCCUUCAUCAAUUGAGUGUCUCAGAGAACUUGCUUCUUUACCAAUGAGCUAUACACGAAUUAAAAAUCUUCCUAGUACUGUUGUUAAGAUGAAUUCCCUUUUAGAAAAAUCUGUCUCUCUCAUUGCCCAAACAUCACUCGUUUUCCAAAUGUUUCAGAGAACAUAAAAGACUUAAUUUUGAGCAAUAUUCAAAUCGAAGAGGUGCCUUCAUCAAUCGGUUGUCUCAGAGAAUUUGUUUUUUUAGAUAUGAGUGGCACAAGAAUUGAAAAUCAUCCAUGUAAAUAUGGAUUUCCUAAAAGCAAUCCAUCUCCGUCAUUGCCCAAACAUCACCCAGUUUCCAAAUGUUUGGAGCAACAAAGAAAUCUUAUUACCGGACGACACAGCAAUAGAAGAAGUGCCCUCAUCAAUUGUUAGGCUUGAAAGCCUGUCCAUGUUGAGUGUGAAUGACUGUACAAGGAUUAAAAGCUUUCCAACAUGUAUUUGCAAGCUGAAAUGUCUUCGACAACUUUGUCGCCUAGGCUGUUCAAAUUUAGAUACUUUCCCAGCAAUCGUGGAGACUAUGCAAUGUCUAACAAAGCUUGCUUGUUCGAAAAGAUUAAGUAUAAAAGUCACACCCAUCUUGAAUGACCACAUAAUUCGUGUGAGGUACAGUAGAAACUUGAAUCUUCUGGGUGUCAUCCUUAGCGGUAGCUUUAGCAAAUUUGAUGUUUUGACGACUCUAGAUCUGAGUGGGUCAAAUAUAGUGAAAACUCCCAUAAGCAUGCAACAACUUCCCAAUCUAAUUUCUCUUUUACUUAAAAUGUUGCAAGAACCUUAUAAUAUUGCCUGAGCUUCCACCACGUCUACGAAACCUAAAUGCACAUGACUGUACUUCAUUAGAACUGGUGUUGGGCAGAAGACGGUUU